rnacentral:rRNA from 1 species
GCAGCAGGCGCGAAACCUUUACACUGCACGCCAGUGCGAUAGGGGGACUCCGAGUGCGAGGGCGUAUAGUCCUCGCUUUUCUGUACCGUAAGGAGGUACAGGAACAAGUGCUGGGCAAGACCGGUGCCAGCCGCCGCGGUAAUACCGGCAGCACGAGUGAUGGCCGUUCUUAUUGGGCCUAAAGCGUUCGUAGCCGGCCGGACAAGUCCGUUGGUAAAUCCACGCGCUCAACGCGUGGGCGUCCAGCGGAAACUGUCCGGCUUGGGGCCGGAAGACCUGAGGGGUACGUCCGGGGUAGGAGUGAAAUCCUGUAAUCCUGGACGGACCACCGGUGGCGAAAGCGCCUCAGGAAGACGGACCCGACGGUGAGGGACGAAAGCUAGGGUCUCGAACCGGAUUAGAUACCCGGGUAGUCCUAGCCGUAAACGAUGCUCGCUAGGUGUGGCGCAGGCUACGAGCCUUCGCUGUGCCGUAGGGAAGCCGUGAAGCGAGCCGCCUGGGAAGUACGUCUGCAAGGAUGAAACUUAAAGGAAUUGGCGGGGGAGCACUACAACC